UACGUAGGGUGCAAGCGUUAAUCGGAAUUACUGGGCGUAAAGCGUGCGCAGGCGGUGAUGUAAGUCAGUUGUGAAAUCCCCGGGCUCAACCUGGGAACUGCAUCUGUGACUGCAUCGCUGGAGUACGGUAGAGGGGGAUGGAAUUCCGCGUGUAGCAGUGAAAUGCGUAGAUAUGCGGAGGAACACCGAUGGCGAAGGCAAUCCCCUGGACCUGUACUGACGCUCAUGCACGAAAGCGUGGGGAGCAAACAGG
rnacentral:rRNA from 1 species